CUCAGAUCAUGUAAGAUUUUAAUGAUCGAACAGAUCAAAAUUUUAAACUUUUGCAUUUAAAUUUUAUCUUAAUCCAACAUCGAGGUCGCAAACUUUUUUUUUUAUUUGAGCUAAAAAAAAAUAUUACGCUGUUAUCCCUAAGGUAAUUUUUUCUUAUAAUCAUUAUUAAUGGAUCAUUUAAUCAUUUAUUUAUGUUUAAUUUUUAAAAAAAGUUCAUUAAAUUUUUCUAUCACCCCAAUAUAAUAUUUAAUUUUAUUUUAAUAAAAAAUUUAAUAUAAUUUUAAAAUAAAAAUAAAUAUAAAACUCUAUAGGGUCUUCUCGUCUUUUAAAAUUAUUUUAGCUUUUUAACUAAAAAAUAAAAUUCUAAAAAUAAAUAAGAGACAGUCUAUAUUUCAUCAAAUCUUUCAUACAAGUUUUCAAUUAAAAAACUAUUGAUUAUGCUACCUUUGUACAGUCAUUAUACUGCAGCCCUUUAAUAAUUAUCAGUGGGCAGAUUAGACUUUAAAUUAUAAUCAAAAAGACAUGUUUU
rnacentral:rRNA from 1 species